rnacentral:rRNA from 1 species
CCUACGGGUGGCAGCAGUGGGGAAUAUUGGACAAUGGGGGCAACCCUGAUCCAGCCAUGCCGCGUGUGUGAAGAAGGCCCUCGGGUUGUAAAGCACUUUCAGUGAGGAAGAACGCCUGGUGGUUAAUACCCAUCAGGAAAGACAUCACUCACAGAAGAAGCACCGGCUAACUCCGUGCCAGCAGCCGCGGUAAUACGGAGGGUGCGAGCGUUAAUCGGAAUUACUGGGCGUAAAGCGCGCGUAGGUGGCUUGAUAAGCCGGUUGUGAAAGCCCCGGGCUCAACCUGGGAACGGCAUCCGGAACUGUCAAGCUAGAGUGCAGGAGAGGAAGGUAGAAUUCCCGGUGUAGCGGUGAAAUGCGUAGAGAUCGGGAGGAAUACCAGUGGCGAAGGCGGCCUUCUGGACUGACACUGACGCUGAGGUGCGAAAGCGUGGGUAGCAAACAGGAUUAGAUACCCUGGUAGUC